rnacentral:tRNA from 2 species
GCCUCGUUAUAUCAGUCGGUAGAUAGUGUGACUCUUACGCUCAGGGCCGAUUGAUCACACAGUCAUGGGUUCGAGCCCCAUACGAGGCU